rnacentral:rRNA from 1 species
UACGAAGGGGGCUAGCGUUGCUCGGAAUUACUGGGCGUAAAGGGAGCGUAGGCGGACAGUUAAGUCAGUGGUGAAAGCCCAGGGCUCAACCCUGGAAUUGCCUUUGAUACUGACUGUCGUUGAGUAUGGGAGAGGUAUGCGGAACUCCGAGUGUAGAGGUGAAAUUCGUAGAUAGUUCGGAAGAACACCAGUGGCGAAGGCGGCAUACUGGCCCAUUACUGACGCUGAGGUGCGAAAGCGUGGGGAGCAAACAGG